rnacentral:rRNA from 1 species
UACGUAGGGUGCGAGCGUUGUCCGGAAUUAUUGGGCGUAAAGGGCUCGUAGGCGGUUUGUCGCGUCGGGAGUGAAAACCUCGGGCUUAACUCGGGGCUUGCUUUCGAUACGGGCAGACUGGAGGUAUGCAGGGGAGAACGGAAUUCCUGGUGUAGCGGUGAAAUGCGCAGAUAUCAGGAAGAACACCCGUGGCGAAGGCGGCUCUCUGGGACGGUACUGACGCUGAGACGCGAAAGCGUGGGGAGCGAACAGG